rnacentral:lncRNA from 1 species
UUUUUUUUAAAUUUUUUAUUGUUGGUUGUUCAAAACAUUACAAAUUUCUUGACAUAUCAUAUUCCACACUUUGAUUCAAGUGGGUUAUGAACUCCCACCUUCACCCCAUACACAGAUUGCAGAAUCACAUCAGUUACACAUCCNUGGCUGCACCAAUUUGCAGUCCCACCAGCAAUGUACAAGUGUACCCUUUUCCCCACAUCCUCGCCAGCACUUGUUGUUUGACUUCAUAAUGGCUGCCAAUCUUACUGGAGUGAGAUGAAGAAGCUGGGCUUAAAUAGAAUUAUCGUUGGCUAACUGCCAACCCUAAGUCCAUGCCAGACAUUACCAGCGGUGGUCAGGAUGUCCCACGCAUUCUCAGUGCUGUGCUCUAGGCACCCAAAACCCAUUGAUGAGAGUGAGCAUUUGAGAUAAAGUCUCUACCAUCAUGAAACAUUUCUAAUGGCACUUCUAGCACUCCAAAUUGCUAACUCUGGGGUGGACCCCAGGCUUCUGCUCCACAGAUGUCUUUGGCCCCCAUUUCCUCUGUGCCUGGAUUCCUUGUGACUUCCAAAAGACAGGUAGACAAUAAAAAUUUGUUUAUGCACAAAGUUUAUCAGUGCAUGGGAGCAGUCUACAGAAGAGAGAGGACUCUCCAAGGGUGAGCAUCCUGAUCUCUUGGUGCUGAGGCUUCCCGUCUGAUUUUGGUACCUUGACCCUGGAUGUGCACGACUCUGCUUGCCAGGUAUGUUGCAGGUCAAAGGAGCCUGUGAUGUUGACACUGUAUAGAGUGGCAGUCUUCCUUUUCAGAAUCAGGGUCAUUGACAGAAUUUCCUGGCAGCACAGGAUUUUUCCUGAUGGACAUCUGAGGCAAGUACUCUUUCCUAGGGGGGUGUCCUCCUUCAUAAUUUAGGGGAGAGAAGGUGCAAUCCAUGGCCUCCUUUGCCUCAGAGGAGACACAAAACAGCUUCCUGAGAGCACUCCUUCAAGGACUAAAUAUCCCAACCCACCCUAGGUGCAAGAGAGGACCUGCCUAUCUGGCUAGGACUCCAGAGACAGAUUCACACAGAGGAGUGUCACCCCUGUAAGGAGGGCAAUGCCUGAUGUCUGGAGAAGCCUGGAAUCUGGCUUUAUUUGAAUAACACUUUUGCCUUCAGGGCCAAGUGGGCUCACUGGAGUUAGAGGAAUCAUGGGUCACACGCUGAGGGGUUUGGGCUAGCAAAGUAGUUUUACACUUUAAUUUGAAUGCUUUAGAGACCUGCAGGCUCCCAUCUCUGGGUCCCCUCCUUCCCAAUAGCACACCCCUGCUCACUUUCUGGCCCUUUAGGGCAACAAAUGUGCUGUCCCUGGGACGAGGUUCAGACCAAGCAGUCUUGUUCUAGAAGGACCUUCAAAGGCAUCUGCAUCAGGGAUACACACAGCAUCCUCUGGGAGCCCAACAGCUGCAGGAGGAGGGCAGGCUGACCUCCUGUCACUCUUCAGUUAGAAAUACAGAGAACUUGAUCAUUGAACCCAGGGGCAUCCUACUAGUGAGCUACAUUCCCAGCCCCCAACUCCUUUUUUUUCCCCCCCAUUUUGGAGACAGUGUUACUAAGUUGCAUAGGGCCUCACUAAGUUGCUGAGGCUGGCCUUGAACUUGAUGAUCCUCAUGCCUCUCAGUCUUCUGAGUAGCUGGAUUCUCAGGCAUGCACCACUGUACCCAGCUUCCAUAGAUUUUCCAAGUAACCUCAAACCAGCCCCAUGCCUCUGUUUCUCCAUAUGUACAAAGACACCCUCACCAAGUUCUUCCAACUACAAGGGGACUACAGUCUUAUUCAGGUCUUAGUACUUCAUACCCCAGUGAGAUAGGAAUCCCCAUGAUGUGACUUGAGGCAACUCACUUCACCUCCCUGAGUCUCAUUUGCAAAAUGGGGAAAAUGAUAAAACUUAUUUUGAAAGGUUGUCUGUGAGUUAUGCAGAUCAUGUUGGUAGUGCACAUGGCACAUGGCAGGGACCCCUUAAGUGCUACCAUAUCAUUAAGACUAUUAGCUUCAUGUUUAUCAAAAUAUCUGGCAAUGCUGGGCAUGUUAGCACAUGCCUAUAAUCCCAGUUAUCCAGGAGGUUAAGGCAGGAGGAUCGCAAGUUCUGAACCAGCCUGGGCAACUUAGACCCUGUCUCAAAAUGAAAUUUUUAAAAAAGGGUUGGGGAUUGUGGAUACAGCCCAGUGGUAGAGCACUUACCUAGCAAUGUACAAGGUCCUGGUUCCAUCCCCAGUACCAUCAAAAAUAAAAAUAAAUAAAAUGAAAGUCAUCUGGUAAAUUGAAGACUCUGCUCUGCCCAGUAGAAAUGGCAGGAAUGAUUGGCAUGCCCUUUGUUUGGGGAUCCCCAUCUGCUUGGCUGUGUAUCAAAAACCCACUUAAGCUGAGGCCAGGCCAGGAGAGCAUCAGGGAUGCACAGCCCCUCCCACUGCCCACUUCCUCUGGCUGAGCUCCUGCUUCUAGCUGCCUGCUGCCUGACAGCCAUCUUCACCUUCUGGCAGAUCCAAGCAUCCAUCCACAGGUGGAAGGAAAUUCCUACAACUUGUUGGGAAGUGGCCCAGCCCCAGCUGGGUGGAGAUAUACACACCAGAAUUGCCAGGGACAUUUCCAUCACUAAGGUUGUUCUCUGGGUUGGGAAUCCUUUAUCACCAAAGGGAAGGGGGCCAUCACUGAGUCCCAGGUGACCCUCCUGGAAAGGUUUAGGACACAGCUCUGGGUGCAGGUGAGCAUGUUUAUCAAAAUAUCUUCAUUAGACCCUGAUCCUGCCUGCGGCUCCUAAAGAACCUGGGGAUUUUCACUACUAGACACAGUGAGCUCAAGGCAGGACUCUUAGCUUGAUGUCUUUGUGGUUGAGCACAACGGAUACCAAUAAACAUUUGCCGGAUGAAAGAAUAGUUGUCAUCUUUUCCUGGGUUGGAGACUGCCACUCUCUGGGAAUCUGAUUUGACUGAUCAGUAAUUUUGUAACUGACCAGUCUCUGACCUCUCUUAUUGAUUCUUGCUAUUUUCAAAAUGAUUUCACCCUUGAUUUUCUAAGUAAACAAUUAUGUAACUUACAACAACACAGUUUUGGUGCCUCCUUUCCAAUAGUUUCAAACUCCUGCUCCUCCCUUCUAACUUUUUCAACUUUUUCUUGUGUCUUGAUACAUGAACUAGAACUUCACAGCAACAUGUCAACAAAAGCUAUGAGAACCAGCAUCCCUGCCUGGCUCCAACUUCAACUAGAAUGCCUCGGGUGUUUGUAACCAUGCCCUGACCUUCCCACCUCUCCCACUUCCUCUGCAGCUUCUCAGUCUCCCUUUUCUCUCCUCUAGUCACUCUUAGCUUUGUAAGUGACCUGUGUACUACAGAUCAGAGAGCAAAGGAAAAUGCUCACAAUGCCAGUUACAUCAAAAGUUCUCAUACAACAGUGUGUACCAGGUCUCCUGGGCCAGGUGCUAGAAUUACAUGCAGAUUUCUGGCCUCCACCCCUAGGGGCAUUUUUAGCAGCCCCUCCCCAACCCUGGGAGUUUCUGGUACAGAUUAUACAGGACUAUAUUUUGAAAACAACUGAAUUUCCAAAGCAGUGGACACCUGCCUACAACCUGAAUCAAUCUCUGAAAGGGUUUGAGCAGCCCAACAAUAGAGUGGAACCCUUUGGGUGGGGAGGAUCUGGAGGUUGGGCCUAGGCUAGAAACUUCCUGGGAAGGGGGAAGCCAGGAUAAAGAGGAGGGACCCUACCAGAUCCAGACAUGGCCUUGCUGCUGUCUGUGUUAUCCAUCUCAUUUACCCUGAUGUCCACCCUGGGGUUCUUUGCAGUGUCAAGGACUUUCUUUCCAGUGUCAAGGUUCUUUCCAGUGUCAAAGGUGGCCACAGUGUUCUGGGAUACCCGACGCUCUCAGCACUGAAACGAUCUGUGUAGGGAUGGUCAGUCAUUGUGAGGGCUGGAAGUCCCCCUUGGUACCUCUCCCCUCAGCCUCCUGCCUACCUAUGAUCAGAACCCCAGAAAACACCUGGCUGAGGAACACAGGCUUCUUAUCAUCGAGACCUGCUGCAGGUUCAUAGGUAAGGGCCAUCCAUCCAGUAGACUCAUCAACUCGCCUUGCUCGUCUCAGCUCAUCUGAUGCACACCAGGAGGUGGGAUCAUUGUUCACCCCUCAGCAGAACAAGAUGUAGCUAACCCAGCCUGGCCACCGAGCCCCCCCAGUGUAGACACCCUGAGCACCUCAGAACAUUUUCAGGACACCGUCUUUCCAGGGCAAGCAAUGCACCCAAAAGGACCGAGGAGCAUACCAUCCAUGUGACCUGCGGCAGAUGGUCAUGAGACCUCCCUUUAAAGCUUUAGGAUGACCUGGGGAAAGCCUAUGUUGGCUUCGGAAGCUUCCAUUUUUAAAUUAAUUGCCAGUGGCCUGCCUCUCUCUCAACCUCUGAAGAACCCUGGCUAGACAACGUUUCCACUUCAUUAAAGCCAGGGAGAAGGCAAAGCCCCAAGAAUUCAUCUCUUAAAGCCUUGGCACAUGGUAAGUUCUCUAUAAUUAAAAAUCAAUAAAUGGGGCUGGGAUGUGCUUGCCCAGCAUGCAUAAGGCUCUGGAUUCAAUCCCCAGAACGGGAAAAAAUUAGCAAAGGACCCUAAUUUAGAUUUUAAACGUAAUCUCUAAAAACAACUGUAUGUGUAAACAGGCACAGAGGAACCCUCUGAAAACACUACACAUGACAGUCACAAACCUUUGAACUGGCAGCGUGGAUUGGACCACACCCACCCAUUCUCCUACCCCCUACCCCGCCCCAGGUCUUAAAGUUACUUAACUAUGCCUUGCAAAAAGCACAAAUUUCACUGCCUUGUGUCCCACCCCACCCCACCCUACCCCCGGCAUUAAAGAUGUCAACCUGGUUAAACUCUUACAAUAUGCCACCAUUUCUAAAUCCUGUUUUGGGGUUUGUUCAACCUCGAUUUAUAAGGAGCUCCCAAAAAUGGUGUGGCUCAGUCCUCUUAUGACCUCUUAGGUCACACGUCUAAACAAGCCUUUUCACUUAUCAAAAUCAGAAAUAUGGCAAAAGCCACCCCACACCCAGAAUGAUCCAAAGGAGUAAAAAUGGGCAGAAGGAGACUGCAAAGGGGCCUGAUCCAAGCAGGGCGCAAACUCCCUGAAUUGUCACCAGGACGCCUCUCUGCUCUUGUCUGAGGGUUUCCUUCUGCCCCUUCUAGAGGCCCCAGGCUGUUUGGUCCUGCUGGAUCCAGGCCAUCUCCAGAGCAGGGUGGGGAGCAGGGAGAGUAGAGAAGGCAGAGCUAUGGGGGCUCCAAGGACCCUCAGACUUAGAGCUCCCAGGUACUCUGGUUUGCUCCUCCCAGGUGGAGGUAGCCUAUCUAAGAGGACCCCUGCAGUCCUCCCCUCCUGCCCUCAAGGAAUCCCCUCUCCUAGACCUAGUGACUAGAUGGGCUGAACCAAACCGCUCAUUUCUAACCAACAGAAUGCGACUCUCUCUUCUGAGAUGAGGUCCUGCACACUUCCUGCUGGCUCCAAUGGAAGCCGACCGCCACGCUGUGACAAGGCCCUCAGGACGAGGACCUGAGACUGUCAGCAACCAGGCAAGGAGCCUGGAAGUGAAUCCUCCCCCAGAGGAAACUUGAGAGGCCUGCAGCAUGCGAGACCAUGAUCCACAGGAUCCAGGAGACUGCACCCGGAUUCUUGGCCCCACAUGUGUGAGCUGAUAAAUGUUGUGUAAGUGCUAUAUCUCAGGGACACUUGUU